GGGCGUGGUUUAUGUGUUAGUCAUUGUUGGUGGACAGGAAGCUCCUGGAAGCUCCUUCACAACGUCCUAAACAUGGAAACAGAGAGCUUGAAUAUUACCCCCUCUUUGAUGGAAAUGAGCGACUACUGUAAGCGAUUGGACCCGGCAUGUAGGGAGAGAUAUUUGGCGAUUGUGGGAAAAUAUGUAGGGAAAGACCUCUACUUGAUGAAGAUGUCGGAAUUUUCUCAAGAUCGACAACAUUUACCCAAGAUUGAGGCUGUGGACAUCACAAGUUACUUGGUGCUCCAGACAUCCUACUACACAAGGGAACAAAUGAAGGCCCACAAAAGUUUGGACUCGUACAAUUUUUACCAUAAUGGCUGGAUCAGCAAGAUGGGCGUAAAACGCCUAAACAACAACAACGUUUUGCUGUUUGCCAGGGUCAACCACUCUCAGAGAUCCCACGAAACCCCGCUGAAAACGUGGGUUAUUGCCUCGAAAGAUGGGGACGUCCAGGCUGGGCACUGCGAUUGUAUGGCAGGACUGUCAGAAUCGUGUUCUCAUGUUGGGGCUGUCCUGUUCGCUGUGGAGGACAUGGUGAAGCGUGAAGAUGAACUCGCAUGCACCUCAAAACCCUGCGAGUGGCUGAUGCCAUCACAUGUGAAAAAGAUCCCCCCUGCCCCGGUUGCUUGCAUCGACUUCCGCUCUUCACAGGCCAAAAGACAGAACCGGGACAGUUUCAGUGAAGCUGCAGCAGCUCGUGCGAAGAGAACACGUCGUUCUCCAGUGGAGCCAGGUUCAGAGAAGUACAUGAGCUACUUUCAGGAGUUGACAGAAAACUUUCCCAAGAGUGCAGCUUUGAUGGCCAGGGACCCUUUUCAUAAGGCAUUCAUUCCAAAAUCCACUAAGCUUCCUAAAAGCGUUCUAGAGUAUAGAACACCACUCACGCUACAGCUACAACCCAAAGAACUUGAGCAGCUUUGCCAGGCCUUCGAGCUGGAUGAACUCACCACCGCCCAGGUUGGGGCAAUAGAGAGAGCCACUCGAGGUCAGAGUAGCAGCAAGACCUGGUUUAGACAGAGAGCAGGGCGGAUAACAGCCUCCAACCGGAGACGUGUACUCCACACCAACGCAGAGAAGCCAGCAAAGGCUUUAAUCAAGGCCAUAUGCUACCCUGAGGCACAUAGGUUCAGCACAGCUGCUACAACGUAUUUACAGGGUCAUCAGUGGUUUUCAGAAUGUUAUGGAAACAAGCACGAAGGGCAAGCCAGGAGAGCCUAUGAGAGGAUGAUGACCCAAGAACAUGAGGGGUUCUCCUGUAUGGACAGUGGACUCUGGGUGAACCCAAAGUGGCCUUAUAUGGGGGCCUCACCUGACGGCAUGGUCGCUUGCAACUGCCAUGGCAAUGGUAUCUGUGAGAUCAAGCAGUGCAGUGCCAGCUCGUCUUUGGUGAUGUGCUGAUUGACGAGUGUCAGUGAUGCCAGGGACACCUUUCUGUCUCAGCUGCUCCCGCUUGGCCUGACGCAGCGAGGCAACAUCUCCUCUGUCCCAUUCAAAAAUGCAGCUCGACAGCUUCGCCAUGAACACAGGGUACAGAUGAUGAGCAUCCUUUGUACACCCAGAUGCCAGUCGCCGCAUGAAUUGAUGUCCAGCUUGACUAUCAGGUCUGGCCACCCACCAAAUCUCUCCUUCAGUUUCGUCCAUCCUCUGCCCUCCUGACAACAGUCACAGUCAAUGUAAAGUAUUAGCAGUUAAAAAUACUUACCUUUUUUGUGGAGUCCAUUUUCAGGAUUCUGCCAAAGGUGGACGUUAUGCUGGCUUUGAUGUGGUCCAGCCUGCUCAAAAUGUCACGGCCAUAACAGCCAGCAUCCAUCUGUGUGAUGGAACAUCCACAUGCUCAGGAGGGUCCUGGAAUUUCACGGGGAAAAGGCUCGGCCUGGCGGCAAAGUCAGAGCAUGCUCCAAGCACAGCUCGAGUGAGGACACGGCCAGUGGGAUGGGCGUCAGCAGCAGGCGUGGAGCUGCCGGGGCCGGUGGAGACGCCGGGGCCGCUG